rnacentral:rRNA from 1 species
GUGCCAGCCGCCGCGGUAAUACAGAGGGUGCAAGCGUUGCUCGGAAUUAUUGGGCGUAAAGGGUAGGUAGGUGGUCUCAUUUGUCAGGGGUGAAAGCCUUGGGCUUAACCCAAGAAGUGCCUUUGAAACGGUGAGACUGGAGUCCUGGAGAGGGUCGUGGAAUUCCCGGUGUAGCGGUGAAAUGCGUAGAGAUCGGGAGGAACACCAGCGGCGAAGGCGGCGACCUGGACAGGUACUGACACUCAACUACGAAAGCGUGGGGAGCAAACAGGAUUAGAUACCCUGGUAGUCC